GAAAAUGUACGCGCUAAUCAGGUUAUUUAGACGAUUUGAUGGAGCUAAAGGUGAUAAAAGUGAAUUCUAGUCGUUUCCUAACUCCCGCUGUUGUUCCGUGUGCCAAAGUGGUCCGGAAAAGUGUAAGAAAUUUGAAGAACCGUAGCGUGAAAGAUCCACCAAACCACGAGUGUGAAAGCAGGUAAAAAGAUGCAAUACCCUUUUGCGACGCGGUGUAGAAAGCACGAAAAUCUGCGACCAAGACCCGGGUGUCCAAGAAGGAAAUCAUCGGUAACCGCACCGACAAGAUCUCCUGCAAUUAAACCAACGGAUAGUUACCAAAAGGAACGAGCAGAUUGCACGUAACCAGAACAGAUCUAAUCCGGAACAUCAGCGUCCGUGCAGCAAGCCGCGGCCAAUGUCGGGAACAGCAUGCUGCACCGUAUACCUUCACCGUCCUCCCCCUAAAAGGGUCUCCGAAGAUGUCUGUUGCCGCCCAAUCCAAGGACGGAUGGACUUGAUCCGUGCCGUCGAUCUCGGCCUGGCGUUUCGGUUUGAGGCCCACCAUACCAUCGGCGUCAAGUGUUCGAACACGGCCAAAGCCGAAGAAGGAGCUGAGAAAGGAGGCUGAUGGAUUCAAGGUCGCGAUGAAAAUCCAGAGCAACGGACGCAUCGGCAGGCAGGCAGGCACAUUGUCCGCGGUACGAUGGCAUGCUACAUACCGAAGGCGGCGGAAAAUGCCACGUGCAGUUCGGACAGAAGAUCGCCAACAUAGAGGAGAAGAUGGCUCGCAUGGCAAAGCGUGAGUACGUCAGUCUUGAAUGUUGUUCGUUACAUAAAUCAGUAUGUAGUACGCCGGAUUGUAUCUUUCGGAAGGAGUUUCGGCAUGCGUUCAAGUACCCUACCGCCAAACUGGGAUUGAUCUUCAAUAUGGGUUCCCGCUGCAGUAUAAAGUCUCUUCGGCCAAACGCGGUGGGAGCUACUACAACUGCUAACUUCCGGUUAUCAUUCAUCUUCCUCGAUUCUGUUUCGCGUUUGGGGCUCACUGAGCGAGAAAAGGGUCAUCUUAACACAAGUUUAAUAUUCAUGCGUUCUACCGCUUGCUAUGUAAUCGAAUUCUUUUAUAUUUCUCAUUCUUUUUAUAACUAUUACCACUACUCAGAAGCUGUGAGGUGUUGGUGUAUAAGUUUUGUACUUACUCGGUACCUCUGAUUCUUCUAAUUCUUUUUCAAAAUUUUCUAUCCAUAAUUCGUUUUUCCUUACUAGCUUUUUCACUGAUAUCAAGUAAGGGUCUUUAAUAUUGUCCUAGUUUAGCUCCUGAACGCCGUUAUUAUUAACGCUACUAUCAUGUGCCAGGCAAGAUAUCUGCAAUGACAGUGAGUUUUUAACUUACUAACAAUCACUGAUGCUAGUUUUUCUAUUUCAAUGUUUCAAUGUUUUCGUUUCAUCCCAGCGAUCAAGCAAGGGUCUUUCAUAUAGUCCAUGUUUGGCUCCGCAACAUUUUCCUGAUUUCUUUCACGUUUCGGGUUAUUAUUAUCGCUAGUGGUAUCGGGUUCUUGUAAUUUCUGUGGUGAAAUUUUUUGAUGAAAGCGAUGAUGAAAUAGAUUCUUUCCGGAUUUAGUUUUCCCACUAUUUUAGAUUCGAGAUCGGGUAGAUUACACUUGAUGUUUAUUGAGAUCGUGAGUGCGUGUGAUUUGUUAUUCGGGGCGCACGUCGCGCCAGAACGGUUCGAUCUUGAUUUUUUACAAGAUUUUACACUGUCGCGGUGAUCGAGCACAACUAGUUUAUUCCUAGCUAUGUUUUUUUUUUGUGUGCACUUUUCUAUUCGCGAAUACAUUAUGUAUCGCAUGUAGCCGCAGCACUAUACAAAUAUAUAAUUUGCACGCACUACACACAUUCUCCCUUCACGGCACGGUAGCACGGCGGGGCACCGUUUGCACAGAACGGAGGGAUGCACCAUGUAGGCUGCCACGCUGCGGUACGCUGCGCUGCUUCGGCACAAUUCAUCACCACCUGCCGGAAGAUAAAAACAAAACUACACAGUUAUGGUUCGUAGAGAACGGAGUAACUUAAAAAAAAACUUUUAUUUCACUUUAUUUGUUAGUUGUUAGGUAUUGUAGGGAGAUGUACGAAGUUUCAGCUGAACACGGUGAAAGGCGGAUGACUUUUCGCUUAAAACUGCCGCUCGUGUUUUUGUUUGCUUUGUUUACAGAAUCCAUUGUAAACUGUAAGACACGACAAGGUUAUGCAUGUUUAUGCACUUGCCUUUCUACAUGACGAAAUGAAUUCGGUGCACUAUCGGAAUUUCGUGUAUCUCCGGGCACUCGGUGACGAUGUGGCUCGCAAGAUAAUGUGGCCCUACGUUUCUUUUUAGGGGCAUGGCGGCCCAGUUCUUUCUUUCCCUAUUCACUUUUGCUUUUUUCUUCCUCUCUAUCUUCCCUCUUGAUCACGCGAAAAUCACGUCUGUCUUUGUUGAUAGUUGGUAAAGGACUAUGAUGAAAGAGAUGUCAUCGUAUCUUAUUACUCCCUUCGAUCGGUUUACGGUGUAGGGUGUGUUCGAUGACUCUGGCUGGGAUGGAAUUGCCGGUCUCCCCGGGAUCCUUCCUCUUGAUCUAAAGAACAAGUUCUCUUGGUGUGAUCUCAAGUGAAAGUGAUUUUUGAAUUAAAGUACGUGAAAAGGUAGUAAUUCUUUUCACGGCUUACUCUUCGUUUAAACGGUGAUUGAUAUCCGUUUGCUUCUAAUAUAAAAUUCUGGGAUGGUCUGUUUCAAAGCUAUCGAAUCCACAUAUGUGUGCGCUGUUACGAGCUCUUAUUGAAAACAUUUGCUUAUCACUGAGGACUGUGUACACGGCAUUUAAUCGGUCGUUUACUUUGUCGUCAUCAAAGGUUUUGUUCACAGUUCCUUCGUAGAUCACUUCGUAGUCAAGUUCUUCGCAUUGUCGUCCCACAUUUAUAUCCCAGGUGAUGUAGCCUAUUUCCGCAUCUAAGCACCAACCGAUCUUGUAGGUGCAUACGAUGCCGUUUCGGAUGAUGAUCUGGUUGUUCUCGACGUCCGCUCUGGUAAUGUAGUCAUGCAGGUCGAUCUCGUAUUCGUAGUACACCAGAGCAUUGUCCCACGUGUAAAGCGGUGUUUUGUAGACGCUGCCGACACAAUUUGGACCUGAUAAGCUUCCUAUGAUCAGCGUUUGACCUCUAACUGUGUGAUUACGUUUCAACUCCCUAAUUUUAUGUUCGAUGGUUAAAGAGAUUUCGCCUGAUGUUUGUGCUAACCUACAUUCUGUGGGUGUAAAUUCUUUGACUAUGUAUGCGUAGCUAUUUUCAUAGUCGGAAGUGAGCGAGAAAGCGCCACAGUGUGUGAUUGAUCGUUUGAUUAUAACCCUGCACUGAUACACAUGAACGAAUGUUUUUGGACUGCGUUGUAGUACCUGAAUUCUUGACUCGACUGUAGUUAUAUUUUUUGUGGAUGGGAUGCAAGACGCUACACUCAUCAAGGAGUAGCUGGUAAUAUUGAUCUAGUUGUUGGCACAGUCAUAUGCAAUCAGGCCGUUUAUGGAAUAUCCAAAGGUUUGACCAAGGAAAAACAACAACGUCAUGAGCACGAGUGCCCACGAAUUCAAUCGCAUUACCUUAGACGCUCUUUGGUGCACGAUAUCGUCGUGCGUUUUGAGCUUUAACGGCGCCGCCCUCCAUUUGGUCGCCGUAACGUAUUUGGUUUGAGCCUGUAAUUCUUCCUUUGCCCAGGUACAUGGAAGAAUUGAACCCUUCUUUUUCUUCUUUAUGGAUUUAGGCUUUAAGAUUUGUUCCUGUUCAGAAUUGGUGUGGAACGUUACAAAGUUUUUACUUUCUUCUGACUUUGGUGGAUCCUUUGGUGUUUCUACUUUUACACCUGUGUGUUGGAUAUUUGGUUUGCUAUAAACAUCCAAUACUGCCAAGUUAUUUGUCGUUCGUUUGUAUAUUUUGUUUUGUACUUUUACCAAUGCUCUACGAACCUGACCAUCUUUCCCUUUGAAGACUUCGACCACUCGUCCUUUUACCCAUCUACCGUUGUUGUUGCUCAUAUCGGUGAUAAUUACAAUGUCAUCGAUUUUCAGCGGUUCUGUGGAGUCGUUCCAUUUUGAACGUUUAGCGAUGAGCGGUAGGUAUUCUAAUACCCAUUGCUUCCAAAAGUAUUGUUUGUAGUGGAGCGCUAAUUUCCAGUGGUAUCUCGUUAUUUCUUGUGCUUCGAAUUCAAAGGGUAAAGAACAACUACCCGCUCACCCGAUCAGAAAGUGAAACGGUGUAAGUAGCUCAUCCCCUUCUCCAUUUAAGGGAAUAUUUGUCAAUGGACGUGAAUUUAGAAUAUACUCAACUUGAAUUAAGGCACAUCUUAAAACUUCGAGUAAGGGAAUAUGAUGUUUUUGGCAAUAUAUCAUCUCUUGUGCAGUGGAUCGAGUCUGGUCUUAGGAUCGGGUUGGCGUCCAGACACCUUUUAUUUGCUAAUCUCCGCCACAGCGGCGGUGCUAUCCGUCCCGGUUGGGAGUCUUCCUUCGGUGUAGCGGGAGCUGCGGAGGCCAGCGGCGGUCUUCCUUCGGUGCAGCGGGAGCUGCGGAGGCCAGCGGCGGUCUUCCUUCGGGCUGCGGAGGCCAGCGGCGAUCUUCCUUCGGUGCAGCGGGAGCUGCGGAGGCCAGCGGCGGUCUUCCUUCGGGCUGCGGGGUUGGUCCUGGCUGCUGUCCGUCUUGGUUGGGAGCCUUCCUUCGGUGCUGCGGAGUUGGUCCCGGUUGGGAGCCUUCCUUCCUUCAGGGUUGGUCCUUGCUGAUCUCCAGUGGCAGACUUCCUUCUAGCAACGGUUGCUGCGGUGGCCCGUGGAGAGUCCUGGCUGAGAUCCAGUUGCAGACUGACUUUCUUCCUCACUCCCUUCCUUCGAUCACGCUCAACAAGUACUCGCCCGCAAACACCUUUAACACCGUCAAUUUCUUUGACUACGACACUACACCCUUACACUCCACGAUCCUUUCAAAUUAAUUUUUGAAUCGCAUCCACUCCUGCUUUCUCUCACCGAUCGGUAAUCCUUCACGAAACCGUUCAAUCGGCCACGCUCCACGAUUUCCUUAAUCUUUCCUUCACCUGGCUCCAUGCUGGACUGCUUCGAAUGCUGUCGCUCAUUUCCUACUAAUGAGAUAACCGUCUCUCCUAACAACUACUCUUAAACAUUCCCUUCUCUCUCUCUCUCUCUCUCUAACAUAAUUCAAAUGCCAACACAUGUUUAAUCUCGAAAACUGUGUGGUGUUAGUGAAGGACUUCGUGGCAGCCAGGCUGCGUCGCCAGCAUCGGCAGCGUUGUGUCACGCUGCGCUCCGUCGCACGCGCGUACUCAUAUCGCUGCGUUCCGUUGCACGCAUCACUUUCCAUUCGGUUAACACUAUGUUUCGUGGCGUGCUAGUCAAUACUGUUCUGCUAGCCACUGCUGUAUGUCGAUGCUGUUAUCGGCAGCAACUCGUCUUUGUUCGAAAAAUUUACACGUGGUCCAGAGCUGGGGUUGGUUGCCUUGCCUUCCGGAAGGCGUUCUUGGCAACCCUCUUGUGGUACCAAAGGUAUACACUGAAUGCGAAGUGCAGUGCCACUAUCGCCAAAAUGCAGCUUAGCUUGAUGGCGUGGUCCGCGUGAUAGUUCUCGUGUGACUCCAGGCUAUUAAUCACUGUGACAUCGUGCUCACCACGGACCACAUUUGAUUCGGGUUUCGCACUCCCGUUGCCCAUGUCUGAUCACGGUUCUUUACGCUAUCUUGCACUAGCCCACCUGCAGCUGUGUUCAACCACUAACACGCGUAGCGCUAACGUUCCGCUGUCGCACUGUUACUGUUCGUGAUUUAUCACACAGUCGGGAAACACAGGACAUAAUCGAAAACUAGGCAGAGUUCCGGUCGCAUGAACGCCCGCGCGCGCCUCCUGGCAGGAUCGCCAUGUUCUGUUUUUCUGGUGGGCUGGUUUCGGAUCUGGACGAAGUAUGACUAUCUUCGAGGAGUGUUCGAUUAAGACUGAUUUUAUUGAUUCUAUGCAAGACUCGACUCUUGGUCGAAAGAUGGUCGGCGCGUGACCGUGGGACCGUGGGUCCAAAUAUGGGGCGUCGCGCCAGCCGCGUUCCCAUGGUGUCGGGUGCGCACGUGUAGCUAACCGACACCACGAAACUUUGCGCAUGACACUCAUGGGCUCGCAGGCCACACCACAGCUGGCCUACCUUACUGACCUUCUCUAGAUCGAGAAUAAGCUUCUUAAUCGUGUCCGUAAAUUUUGUAAUUUCACCCGUUUGCUUUGUUGCAUUCAGUUUAGCUAAUACAGUGUCCAGGGACGCUGGAAUUUUUCAUUCAUCUUCCAAAGCUUUUAUAAUCUCACUGAUUGAGGUAAGCUUUUGGCCAACCGCAAGCCUUACCUUCUCCUCUGCUUUUAAUCCACCUCCAAUAGCUCGUUCGUCUAUUGCCGUAGUCGACUACUGCAUGUAGCGGUCGAGCGUCUUCCGAUUCCUCGAAGAGCGCCGAACUAUCACUAUUGCACCUGAAAUGUAGUUGAAAUGUAGGUUUCGUGAAAACAGGGAAUUGCCUUAUUUUUUUUAUUGACAAAAUGACAAUAUCACAGGCACCGCCUACAUCUGUACAGCAUAUCAUCCCACCCACUUCUCUAUUCCUGGUAUGGCAAAUCGCGAGUGGGAUAACUUAAACCUUGAUAGGUUAUCCACCGCAGUUCAAGGGGCCCACCGCACCGCAGGGUGCAGUUCCCGGACAGGCUGGUGCAGUUCCCGGACGGCCUGGUGGAGUUCCCGGACAGGCUGGUGCAGUUCCCGGACAGGCUGGUGGAGUUCCCGGACAGGCUGGUGGAGUUCCCGGACAGGCUGGUGCAGUUCCCGGACCAACAGGUGGUGUUGCCGGACGAACAGACGGUUCGAAGGACCACAUUUGUUGCGGCACGCCCGCGGCCACAGGUCCCGCGAAGGAUGGACCUCUUCGCUGACCAUCAAACGCGCAGCAGCAAGACGAAAGGGGAGGAGGAUAUUCCUCCGGAGCAAUGGUUGAGACUUUCGGCUCUCUAGUACCUCCUCGCUAGUUGCUCCUCGAUAUUGGGAGCCUAUGCCGCAGGAGGGGAGAUCUGAUCGCAACAACGUUUUUCGGAUAGGUUGGGGGAGACCCGGGAGCAUCAACCAGAACAGCGCUGAGAAACGAGGCCAAUUCGACGUGCUUCUUCGUGUUGUGAUCGAUACUGAUUUAUUCCUGACAAUUUUCGUCCUUAUGAACCGGAUGUGCGUGUAUUGGUGAAAUGUGCGUCGCAGUGGUGUGCGUGUGAUCGCACCGUGCCCCCCUAGGUUCACCCCACCCCACUCCCUACCCUAUCCUACCCUUCCCUCCUCCAUCCCUACCCUACCCUCAACCCCCUGCAUCUUUCGGAUGUGCGCAUAAAAUGUUCUCACAAUUCGCAAUUUCAUUUUUGAUAAUAUUUAUUCACACUUUUUUAAAACUCAAUCACAUAACACUAGCACCAAACAUACCUCAUCCUUACAAUGCUUCCUUCCUUCGUUGGCCGUAUAAGGACCCAAAAGGACGUUCCCAUAGACGGGCCGUUCGCAUGGACGGCACACAUUCACACAUACCGCUUACUCACGGCUCGCAGCUCUCGGAGGGCUAGAAAAACACUAAAAGAAGAUUUUUUCACUUUUAAAACACUUGUAAUACCUUUAUAAUCAUUUAGAAACACUUUUUACUCACCGUAAAACGUUUUCACAGCGUUUUCCGAUCUCCUGGCGAUGCAUGUACCGGAACAUUCUGGAAAGAGGCAAUGGUACGGCAUCGGACUUGAUCGUCCAAAUAUCAGUUUAAUUACUCACCAGAUCACGACGAAUCGUUCGGGCUCUGCUGCUGUAUCUGAUAAAUGAUCUGUAAAGAAUGGAAAACCAACAAAAUGUGUUAAAAUUAUGCAUAUUUUUGGCAAACUUACCAGCGACGAUCGUCGUCGAUCUUGCAUCGCACCUUGCUCGUUGCUGCGCUGCUCGUUGAUCCAGCGUCGCACGUUGCUCGUUGCGUGGAGAUGGUGCGUGGUGGUGCGUUCGGCGUAGUGACCGCCUGGCGCCGUCCCGUACUGUCGCUUCGUUUGCUUUUCGUUCUUCGGAAGCGACUCGGCGACGCAACAGCUUGUUUAGAUCACCCGCGUUAGUACGCCGAUUGCAGUUUCGGAGUGUCCGUCGUGGCGGACAGCCAAUGUAGCUUCGUAAGUAUUGCUUUGAUAGCUGUCGGCCUGGUGGUGUCCGUUGUAAGCGUUUCUAAUAUAUCCAGCGCAUUACAAAUUGCUUCUAAUUGCUUCUCGUUGCCGUCAUAUCUCGGCACGAGCGAGGACACCGCCUUGACGAUUUCAAGUUGCGUCGUCAUUUUGGGGUUUUUGGCAAUGCUUACAAGUUUUAUGGCCGCUAGAACUGCGAGCCCGACGCCCCUAAAUGAAAUGGGUUCUUUACCCUCCACCCUAUUGUUGAUGAUAUUUAGGAUUUCGGCCAGAGUGCUUCUGGUCGAUCUCAAAACGACCCUUCGAGGAUAGGCUUCAUCCUCUAGAUCCUCUGCCAAAAAGAGGAUUGCUUCGUAAAUGACCCUACUUUCUUUCUGCUUAUUUGUGAGGAACUCUUUCCUAUACCUUCUACCAGGGUUUUUUUAAAAUCAUCAAGAAUUUGUUGUAGUUUGGAGGAGAGUUGCUCCAUCUAUUUAAAUCGUGCUUCUGUACAUAGCACUUGUCGGAUUCUUCUCGAGCGUUCGGCACAUUUUUUCGCUAACAUAUCGAUUCCCUUAUCCACUAUGAGCACGUCGCUCAUUCUCUUUGCGUAAACUAACCGUUGUCUUAGAUUCUUAAUUACAUGCAGUUUAGUCGCUUUUUCUCUGCCCGCGUAGGCCUUGCUUACCGCCGUUGUCGUUUCUGCUAUCUUUUUCUCCAGCUGCUUCCAGAAUGCGUUGCUUAUUUUGCCGCCUCCUCUUUCCUCGUCGUCGUCGCUCUCGCUGAUGUAGACUUCGUCGCUGCUGGUGGCGAGGAAUGGCUCGAGAUCAGGUCCUUCGUAGUAAUCUUCAACGUACUUCCAAUCGUAUUCCAUUUCGUCCAUCUCACAACCUUGGUAGUCGAGCAUGGUGUGGCUUGACACCGUCACUUCCCGCCAUCUUUAUAUACGCACUUUUCACGUUCGUUUGUGUGUCACUUUUUACUCACUUUUUUUUUCGUUUGUUUGUGUGUCACUUUUGUUUAUUAUUUUUUGUUUGUAUUACUUUGGAAGUUCGAACACACAAUUUUCGCCCUUUUCUUGCCUGCUUCUUCAUUAUCGAAAACACUGCCCUAAUUAGCUUCUCCACUAUGAGCACUGUUAGCAACACCAUUAUACAUAUUAGUUUAAAGUCUUGACUAACGUGGUGUUCCGUGUGCACUUCUUGGUUCUGGAUUAUAACUAGGUUCGAGCCGCCUUUUCCCAUUGUUAAAGUGUUUGUUUUUCACUGUCAGCACUUUUUUUCACUCACGUUCUCGCGACGACCGCGACCUCACAGUUGUCGCGACCACUUUAUGUUUUUAUCACCUAAACUCUUUUUGUUCCGAUCAAUACUUCGAUCAGCACUUCUGAUCACAUUUUUUUUUUCAACACUUUUGACUGUUUUGCCAACACUUCACGGUCGCCAUGUGGUAGGCGUGUGGGGUUGUCGGGUAUUUAUUGCCAAGGGUAUUGGUAUGCGUGUUCGUAUGUUAGAUUCCCCACUGUUUUAUAAUUUGCGACCGGAAGGGCAAAGGCGACACUUGUGGAAUUUUGAGAGCGUUACUUUAUUUAGUCUCGACGACCAACGUCUGGCCUCGUCGAAAGUUUGCGAAGAAAAAGAGCGGUCGAGCGCGCGCGAGGUGACAGCUGGCUGACGUCCAGCUCCUCUGUCGUCACUCGACCUGUCAGUUGAUGUUGCUACAUUUUUUGAAUUGAACAUCGAGACGUUAGAAUAAAUAAACCGGUGUCGGAGUCGCCACAGAGGCAAUGGUACGCAUCAGACUUGAUCGUGCAAAUAUCACUUUAAUUACUCACCAGAUCACGACGAAUCGUUCAGUAAUCGAUGAAGUAGGUGGGUGGUAGCAUGUAAAGUGAAGAAAAACCACACAAUUUUUUUUAAAUACACUUUUUUUCAAUCUUACUUGGAGCGUGUUCAGCGCGCAAGCUACCACGAAGCUUCCUCCUUUGGAACUGUCAAAAUGCUAUGGCAGGGCUGCCAAUAAUUAUGUUCUAAAUUCUGAUAACAUAGCCAAAGUUUGCAUAUCUAUUAUAUGCGCGUGGAUAUUGCUCUUGGACAAUACGAACGUGCAUAGCUCGUUCGUUCGCCAAGACUUUCCCAUUUCGAUGAUGUUGUUUCCUCGGAUCUGCUUCACGGCGCUGCGAUGAAUGACUAGAAUCGGCUCCGAGUUUUUACACUCUUUCUCUAGCACUCUAUGCUGAACUAUUAUACUACACGCUGUUGUCCGUGGCCGGAUCCUGGCUUUUGAGAGCCGCCGCGAAGGAGCCGUUGAAACGGUUCCACGUGGCCUUCUUGUGGUCCGCGACAAUCUGCUUGUAAGCAGGGCAUUCGGAGAUAUCGUGUCACUGCUUUUUGCAGUGCGGGCUUUUCUGGGUCGUGGAGGAGCACUCCUCAGUUUUGUGCCUUCCUCGGCACUUUCCGCAUUACUGCUGGAACGUGCAGUAAUCGGCGGAGUGCCCGAUCCUACUGCACUUUGCGCAGCUCGCGACCUUUGAGAAAUAGGGCCUCUUAAUGGGAAUCCGGAGCCCUUCCACGACGAGGAAGCACGGCAGCACCGUCCCUUCGAACGUGACACGGAGCGAAGAAGACUCCUGGAAGGUUUUCUUCCCGUCAACGAUCGAGGCGCUGUACAGCGACCGAACCUCCAACACCUUAACUCCUUUGGAGGACGUGUUUUUGAAGGCUCCCAAUCCGUAUUUUAGGAUUUCCUCCGGGGAGAUUCCAACGUCCUCCACAACUCCGGUCACCUCCACUCGACUACCGGGGAUAUAAACCCGGUAGCGAGGCGUAAGGGCCUGGUCGGCCACAAUGGCGUUGGCCUGCAUCCGGUCGCCUACGGUGACCUGCAGUUUGUUCGGUUUUACCCGAAACACAUCGGACACCGGCUUGUACUUGGCCGUUAAGGCACGCGUGAUCGCCAGCGUGUCCAACGGCACCUCACGGGGCGUGAUGUAAACGGUGUACGGUCCCGAACCGGACGCCGGGUACGCUCGCACACGGUUGCUCAUCAUUGGCUGCGCCGACGGUGCGGACGUAGCCGUUUUCUUUGCUGCCGGAGUGGGUGACGAUGGCUCGCCGAUCUUCCUCUUCCCCGACACCACGGUGAAGCCAUCAUCCGGGCUGCAAGCAGGCCCGGAGUCAGACUCCAUGGCGGGGAAGGCGUGAGAUGACAAGGCGAGCAACAAAAACAAAAAUCAAAAACUACACUAAAAAUUAUAAAAAACAAACAAAGACAAACUACGAACAAAAAUGGGUCAUCCUGUGCGACGAUCGGCGAUCAAGGCCAAAUCUCCGCGCAAGAUGCCCCCUAACUACUCGCACGCAACGAAACAGGAGCAGAGCGUAAUACGCUACCACCUGACGCUACGUACCACACACUGCCAGGAAACUGACGGAUCCCGCCUAGUGUAGGUUUUACGCUACAAACGGGACACACGGUAGUUCACCGGCACAAAACACUUACAGCGCAGACCAGAUCACAACUCGGUUGUCGGGUUAACUGACCUAAUCCGAAGUGGACUGUAUUUGGAGGGGUGGAAAAAUGUGGAGAUUGGAAGGAAGGAUAGUGCAACGGGUGGAUGGGCUAUUGCCAACACACCACGAGAAGGAAGGAGGAAGAGGAAUUCCUAUCAGUAUCGGGGAUAUCAACAACUUGGACCAAGAUUGGAGUGAAGGUAGAAGGCCCUUUUCGACGGAAAAAGGCAAUGAUUGCCGAUUUAUUGAUUGGUUCUUGUUGGCGAUCUUCAUGUUCCGAUGGCGAGGUACAAUGUUUUUCGUCUCCUGUGGUCAGGUCCGCCAGCCAGAAAAGUCCGCCAGCUGCAAUGGCUGAGUGGUUACUUACAAUAGCAGUGUGGUGGAAUCGCAAUGAAGAUUCCCUAACAGCGCUCGCCAAGUAAUCGUUGCCACGAGUGGUCGUUCUGUGCAGUUGUAUAAUUUCCGUGACCACUGCAUGCACUACACCUGGUCCAGAGCGAGGACGGACUUACGCACUUUUAACAAGGUGCGUCUAGCCACUCGCUUGUGGUACCAUUUAUAGACGGUAGCAAUUAGCUGCAUGGAAACGAUCACGAGGAUAAUGAUCAACUUUAGUUCGUGGUUUCCGUGAUAUUCCGUGUGCACUUCCUGAUUCGCGAUCACGGUGACGUCCCGAUUUCCGGAGUUAACUUUGGAGGGGGUUUUCCCCAUGUUUGCACUUCUUGCCACUCACUAUCAGAGUUUUCGGUGGUUGCGCGAUAUACUCACACUGCGCGACAUUCGAUCGCAACACGCGCUAUACACUGUUACGUGCGCUCAACGGCGCUAUACACCGUAACUUGUUCCCCGUAUCAGAGAUACGGGCGGUUGGCUUUCUGCGCCGCAGCCGAAUUCACUAUUGGCUCAGCUUCUCCGCGGCGGCGGGAGUCUUAGCCCACUUCCCCACGGGUGGUUCUCCCGGGCUUGUCGGCACGGGCCCACGCACAGGUACGCACACGCGCGGUAACACUUAGUGCCAGGCAAGAGCUCCUGGCAGGAUCGCCAUGUCGUGCCCGUACCCGGGAAACCGUACUUACCCGUGGGGAUGACCAAUUUCGGAUUCUAAAAGGAGAUGUCUUACUCCGUUCGGUGUGAUGCUAAGACUAAAAACAUUUAUUUCAACCAAGUCAGCAAGCCGCGUCAGCGUUUCUCGCGUGGUCGGUGGUCGCACGGGACUCGGGUUGCAUCCGGCCCGCUGCGAGCGCAUUCUUUCGUUUACAUAAACACCACCCGAGAACCCUCAAGUGGUGUUCCCACGCUCGCGCUCUCAACGGCGCGAUAGGCUGAUCGCAGCAUAUCGCGCGUUAGCGACCAACAGCACUCGACUCUACGAUGUUGCGCGUAAACAAUGUUGCGCUUGAGCCGAGCGCUGUUAGGGAAUCUUCAUUGCGAUUCCACCACAGCAGGUUGUCACCAGGAGAAGAUUGCCCUGAUAAUAAAACCGUCCCCGAUGGUAGGGAGGCUAAUCAGUCGCCCUGAGUAAGCCAAUUGGUGUCCAAGAGAGAAUUGCCACGAAUCGUGUUCUCUCUCGGAUCAAAAGGCUGACCGGUGGCCGAGGAGCGUUUACCUGAAAUGGAGAAGGCGAAUCACAACGUUCGUGAGGACGUCUUUCCUCACCGAACGUCAGCCUGAAGUAGACCGAUGUUGGGUCGUGACAACGACCGGUUGAUUGUCCUAACAAGGACAUUCACUGUUUGUCCCGAGUGCAAGGGAAUCCUGCCGUGAAAACGGCAUUCACUGUUUAUCCUCAGUGCCGGGAGGGUUGCCGUAAUGGAUCCUUGUAUCGUUGUAUCUUUAUUGUAUCCUUGUAUCGUGUAAGAAGCGCGGACGUUCAAAUAUCGGUAGGAAUAUGUGGCACCAAUUAUGUGAUCCGAUCGUUGAUGUGUCCCUCCGCGAAUUAGUUUUUUCCGCGUGUUUCACUAUCCACUUUUCACAGCACUUUCUAUGCGCACUUUCUUCAGCCGCCGUACGGCUGGUCUUGAUUCUCACUACCCGAUCACGUCGGAUUGGUCACCUUACUUACGAAUUGGUGACACUUAUUCCCUCAUAUCUAUAAUUAUGGAUGAGAACUUUGGAAUUAAUUUUUAAAAAAGGAAAUUAAUUUUAUUCACUACUAUUCAACACGACUGGAUCAACGGAGAGCUGGAACAAGACUGGCUGAUUCCGGAGUGUCCGGCUUGCGAUUCCGGAGUGUCCGGGACUGCAACGUGUCCUAUCCUACAUGUAGGCCUUGCCUACCAUCCACUCCUUUCUACCUUUGAUCCCCUCCCUGCACUCCCUGUAUCUAAAAGCAGCCUAACUGCUUCUCCUCUGGCUGCUCCUCUCAUCGCUUAAGACGCGCCCGUACCGCCUUGCGGUGCUGAUGCAGGUCGCAGGACCGCUGCCGCUCUAGGGCACGUACCACCCUGUUUUGCUGCUGACGCUGCAGCUGCCCUACGCCCGCCUUGACAGCCGUUCUAGCACUUAGCCAAGCCGCUUCCCUCCGUCCUCUAUGGCGCGAUCGUGUGCCUAUCCCACUUACCAAGCCGCUGUCGCAGUCGCCAGCCACUGCUUCUAUCGUCCAGCGUUCCUGCAGCACAGUGAUGAUAAGCCGACACGCCUGGCUUGUCUCUCUCUCUCUCUCUCCAUCGCUGCGGACUGCGCAGCAACUCCUCUCCCAGGUUACUGGCCGUGACUGGAUUGGAUGGCUGCCACCGUGCCCGAGCAACGUCCUACGGAUGUUAGCAAACCGCGAGCAGUCGAACAGAACACAUGCCCGACUGUCUCAGCUACACUCACUCGACGCUCGAUCAGACAAGGGGAGGCAUUUAGUAAAACAAAUCACAGUAAAUUGUAAAAGAGUCGGAGUCGUCUGGCGGAGUUUAAAAUUCGAAUCGUAAUCGAUCAAAGGAAAAGCCAUCGAAAUAUCUGCUUUACCCAAGACGACUGACGUAUGUAAGGAGGAAGAGUUGGACGAUGGAAAUCGGCGUGUUAGAAUUGAUUCUAACGUUUCAAAGAACAGGGAAAUUUGUCGGUAAAUUAAGCUUUUAUUGGCUGGGUGGCGGAGCUAAUAAUGCAAAACAAAACCACAAAUUUGUGCCUGUUGCUGUUGAAUUCAUCUAAUUCUCGCGCGCCUCCCUUUUUAUACUCUUCGCGAGGACACUCAGCGUUCAUCAUUCUGUUCAGCGCCGUGGAAUGCGCACUGUUAUAAUAUUCUCACUAGCUCACGCACUGUUUAUAACACGGCGAGAGUUAUUUAAUUAAAGUAGAAAGUGUAGUGUGGCCUUACGUAUGGCCUAAACAAAGAAUCUUAAAAACUAGACGUGACGUAGGAUAACAACAGAACGAGAGAGAGAGAGAGAGAGAGAGAGUGCUUACAAAGCGAAAGUGAAGCAAGAUUAAAAUCGAACAAUGGGAAACGUAAAUUAGUUUGGCGAAACAUUGAGAAGAGCGGUUCGUUAUAAAUGUAACACGCGCUGCCUACGGAACUGUGGCACUAGGAACACGUGAACGGGGAGAGUCUGACCAAUCAUUCAGUAGCGUCAAUUUAAACCAUCUAGCAAUCUACGUAGGGACGAACGUACAACGCGAGCAACUUGACGCACGCCUAUGGUCAAGACCCAAGACCUGCCUCCACCACCGACCCAGCCCUGUUCUUGGCCGCCUCCGUGAUUUGCCUUGGUUCGGAACGGCGUAGUAAGAAUCCGCCACAAAAUAUGCAACGCGCCAACGGCGCGCCCGCCGCUUAACAAUCAGUUAUCAAUAACGAUCACACCAUGAUACAGUGGAGAGGGGUAUUAAUGAUUUGCUGAAGAUGCAUUCUUUCGCCACAGCCAGCAACAACAGUUCAUGCCAAAUCGGCCAAGCGACGACCCGAAGGGCGCGCCGGUCGUUCGCACAACAAAUAACAACUAGAAGAAGAAGAAGAAUGACGUUAGAAGUUGUUGGCCGCAUGAACAAAACCGCCAAACUCGAUACAUUAUCGAUAAACCUCUCUCCCUCACCAGAACCGAUAAGCGAGCACCAAUGUUGCAUCAGAGGAGAGGAUUCACGUCUACCGGCCGAGUCAGCUCACCUAACGCGGCAAGAACAGGAGGUGGAGAGGAAAACGGAUGGUAGGGACGGGUUCGCUGACAUUUUAGGGUUACACGACGUUAGGUUGCUUGCUGCGGCAAAGUUUAUAAAAAUGAAUGUCAAAAUAAAAUUAGGGCAGUUAGUAAGACGGCGCUCUUUUGUGAAAAUCUGAAAA